AUCUUUUACCUCUUGAACUGUUUGAGGAAGAUGCCCACGUUCAUGCCUCGCUUGGUGUCCAAGAGGGAGACCUGCGGUGCGACAGGCGGACAUUGUAGUCAUCAACGUCGUCGUCAUCGUUUUCACUCACGUCCAUUUCGAUGAGCCGCGGCCCCUCCUUCCCCCGGCCGGCGUGGCGCCGGCGUGAUCCUGCUGCUGACCAAAGAGUUCUUCCACCGUGCUGGCGUCGAUCUGGUGGCGCUGCUGCGCCCGGCCCAGCGUCCACAGGCAGGAGAAGAGAAGAAGAAAUUCGUUGUAACGCCUCGCAUCCUUGUUUUCCACAGUUCACACAUCAUUCGUCCUGGCUUGAUUGGUGCCCUGGGUGAGGCACCCCCAACACCGCCUGGAAACGCCACCCUGUGCAGCUGCACAUAUCGCACAUAUCAGAAGCAGCCGCUGCAAGUGGGAUACAGGGUCGCUUGCCACCC